UAUGAACGCUAGCGGGAGGCCUAACACAUGCAAGCUGAGCGGUAGAGUUUCUUCGGAGACUUGAGAGCGGCGUACGGGUGCGGAACACGUGUGCAACCUGCCUUUAUCAGGGGGAUAGCCUUUCGAAAGGAAGAUUAAUACCCCAUAAUAUAUAGAGUGGCAUCACUUUAUAUUGAAAACUGAGGUGGAUAAAGAUGGGCACGCGCAAGAUUAGAUAGUUGGUGAGGUAACGGCUCACCAAGUCGAUGAUCUUUAGGGGGCCUGAGAGGGUGAUCCCCCACACUGGUACUGAGACACGGACCAGACUCCUACGGGAGGCAGCAGUGAGGAAUAUUGGACAAUGGGUUAGCGCCUGAUCCAGCCAUCCCGCGUGAAGGACGACGGCCCUAUGGGUUGUAAACUUCUUUUGUACAGGGAUAAACCUAUUUACGUGUAAAUAGCUGAAGGUACUGUACGAAUAAGCACCGGCUAACUCCGUGCCAGCCGCCGCAGUAA
rnacentral:rRNA from 1 species